rnacentral:rRNA from 1 species
UACGGAGGGGGCGAGCGUUAUUCGGAAUUAUUGGGCGUAAAGGGCGCGUAGGCGGCUUGGCAAGUCAAAGGUGAAAUCCCUCGGCUCAACUGAGGAACUGCCUUUGAAACUGUCUGGCUUGAGGCCGGGAGGGGGUAGCGGAAUUCCCAGUGUAGCGGUGAAAUGCGUAGAUAUUGGGAGGAACACCAGUGGCGAAGGCGGCUACCUGGACCGGUUCUGACGCUGAUGCGCGAAAGCGUGGGUAGCAAACAGG